GAUGAACGCUGGCGGCGUGCCUAAUACAUGCAAGUCGAGCGAACGGACGAGAAGCUUGCUUUUCUGAUGUUAGCGGCGGACGGGUGAGUAACACGUGGAUAACCUACCUAUAAGACUGGGAUAACUUCGGGAAACCGGAGCUAAUACCGGAUAAUAUUUUCAACCGCAUGGUUCAAAAGUGAAAGACGGUCUUGCUGUCACUUAUAGAUGGAUCCGCGCUGCAUUAGCUAGUUGGUAAGGUAACGGCUUACCAAGGCAACGAUGCAUAGCCGACCUGAGAGAGUGAGCGGCUACGCUGUAACUGAGGCACGGUCCUGAGUCCUACGGGAGGCAGCAGUAGGAGAAGUUCCACAAUGGGCGAAAGCCUGACGGAGCUACGCCGCGUUAGUGCGGAAGGUCUUCGAAUCGUAAAACUCUUUUAUUAGGGAAGAACAUAUGUGUGUGUUACUUGGAGUAACUUGACGGUACCUAAGCAGAAAGUCACGGCUGACUACGUG
rnacentral:rRNA from 1 species